ACCCGCCAGCCCCGCGCUCUACCAGGCAGAGCGCGUGUGGCCGCCGAGCACAUGGACCCACUGGUCAAGCGGGCUCGGCAAGGCCAGGAUGAAGAGAAGCUACGAACUUAGCAUUCCCAGAGCCCCCCGAGUGGAUAUCCGCGUGGAAAGGAUGUUGGCAGCCCCGGUGACCUCGGAGUCACGGCUGGAUCCACCCUCUUAGAGCCGAGUUCUGUCACCACAGACAUUGGCAGUGGCACUUGCAUGCCCCUGGCAAGCAGUCUAUCCUGAGGUGGAGGAAGUUGCCCUUGAGUUCUGGCUGGUAACCAGCACAGUAUACCCUUUAAGCGUUCCAGAAGGAUUUUGAGAUCCUUUCCUAAAUCAAAGGUGGAAUAUUUGGGGAUUUGGAAAAUUGAGAUGUGAAGCGUUGACUUAAGAGAUGCCAAGUAACUCAGCAGAUGUCACACAGACGAUAAAUAGCAAAGAUGGAAGUCUUCAUGCCGGAGGCAAUCCUAUAAGACAGCUGAGUUCUGCAGAGCUGGUAGGAGACAGACUUGCUCAGGUGAUAGAUCCAGCCAUGAUACUGACCCUAAGAGAAUGAGACGCUCUGCAGAAGACAGAAGAUUCCUGAAACUGGGAAAGGUGCCUAGAAAUCCUGAUAAGAGUGAAGAAGGAGCUGGCAGAGCAGCCUUCCUCCGCACUAUGAAAGACAUCCAACAGAGAGCAAGUUCCCACCUCACUUCCAGCUUGACUCCUUUUUAUCUCCUAACUGUGGUCUGUGAUGUCUUCAGCAAUGGGUACCUGGAGGCACAGCAGCCAUGUUGAACCUAUGAGGUGAUGAAAAACCAUGCAACUAGAAACCAGAAUGGAAGAAAAGAAGAAGCUGGAUCCUUGACUGAAUUGUCGAUGGGGGAUAGUCCAUCAUCCCAGGGCUAAGACCACCUCCAGAUUUCUUGUUUGGUGAAACAAGUCCUGAUUGUUUACAUUCCCUCGUGUUGAGCUGUCUCUUGCUUGUAGCUGAAAGCAUUUCUAAUAGAUAUUCAGAUUAUCAGCCUUAGCUCCAAGCUAGAAUACUCUAUGGGACCUUAGCUUCUCCAUGAAUUCCUUUGCUCAUCUGUGUAAUGCUCAAUAAAUGUAAAUUGAACCCUGAAUGAGGGACAAUGACACUA
rnacentral:lncRNA from 1 species